AAGCCUGUGUCCACUUGGUCACUAGGCAAUGUGGUGUUCAGGUCGUUCCGCAGAGACACUGCUCCACCCUAAGUCCAGCAAUGAGUACGGUGGUAUGGACAUGGCCCAUAGAGGGUGAAAGGCCCGUAGGGGUGGAGGUUCGGCAUGUCAGUGUCUCUCUGGGUAGACCUUGGAGUCGGGUUGUUUGUGAAUGCAGCCCAAAGUGGGUAGUAAACUCCAUCCAAGGCUAAAUACUUGCACGAGUCCGAUAGCAAACAAGUACCGUGAGGGAAAGUUGAAAAGUACUUUGAAGAGAGGGUAAACAGCACG
rnacentral:rRNA from 1 species